GAUGAACGCUGGAGGCGUGCCUAAUACAUGCAAGUCGAGCGAACAGAUGAGGAGCUUGCUCCUCUGACGUUAGCGGCGGACGGGUGAGUAACACGUGGAUAACCUACCUAUAAGACUGGGAUAACUUCGGGAAACCGGAGCUAAUACCGGAUAAUAUAUUGAACCGCAUGGUUCAAUAGUGAAAGACGGUUUUGCUGUCACUUAUAGAUGGAUCCGCGCCGCAUUAGCUAGUUGGUAAGGUAACGGCUUACCAAGGCAACGAUGCGUAGCCGACCUGAGAGGGUGAUGGGCCACACUGGAACUGAGACACGGUCCAGACUCCUACGGGAGGCAGCAGUAGGGAAUCUUCCGCAAUGGGCGAAAGCCUGACGGAGCAACGCCGCGUGAGUGAUGAAGGUCUUCGGAUCGUAAAACUCUGUUAUUAGGGAAGAACAAAUGUGUAAGUAACUAUGCACGUCUUGACGGUACCUAAUCAGAAAGCCACGGCUAGCUACGUG
rnacentral:rRNA from 1 species